rnacentral:rRNA from 1 species
CUACAAUGGCCGGUACAAAGGGCAGCGACACAGCGAUGUGAAGCGAAUCCCGAAAAGCCGGUCUCAGUCCGGAUUGGAGUCUGCAACUCGACUCCAUGAAGUUGGAAUCGCUAGUAAUCGCGGAUCAGCACGCCGCGGUGAAUACGUUCCCGGGCCUU